AAACCACAAUCCGGACCCACAAAACUCACAACAACGCAUCGUGACUAUAACAACACAACUAAAUGCUCCAGAAAUACAAAGCUUGGCAAAACAAUGCAAAAGCCUUGCCUCCCAGUUAUAACAACACAACUAAACGCCCCAGAAAUACAAAACUUGGCAACACAACACAAAAGCCUUGCCUCUCAGUUGUAACAACACAUCACAAAACCACAAUCCAGACCCACAAAACUCACAACAAUGCAUUGUGACUAUAACAAAUACAAAAUUUGACAACACAACUCAUCCACCUCCCCAAUCCCUACAUUCACACUUGGCCUCCAAAAAAAAACCAAUUACAAUAAUAACAAUGACAACAACAACAACAACAACAAGAAUCAACACCAUCAUAGGCAAGAAAUAGCCAGGCACUGAGGCUAAGAGGCCAGUCAGUGCUACACUGGGCCUCCAAAAAACAAUAAAGGAGCAUCUAACUUAUCCAACCUUCAUGACCACUACAACAACAAUAAUAAUAAACACCUACACAGGCGAAAAAAAAAGACUAUUGUACCACAAUUAAAAUAUAAACCGCACUCAGCAGAAUCAGACAUUACAACUAACAACAAACCAAAGACAAGAGGGAUCUCAAGCAAUUAUCAAUCAACACAAAAAUUGAAGGUAACAGACUUCAAAUACUACUACUAAUGUGAGUAUAAAGAAGGUGGAGGUCACAGCAUAAAUACAACCUAAUGUAGACUGACCAACACCACCAGACUAAGCCACAGCAACGCGUGGCCGGGCACAGCUAGUUUUAUAUAAAGAAGAAAAAAAACUGUAUCCCCUUUUUUCUUUGUGUGUUUUCUUCUCUUGCUCUCAUUCCAACUAUUCUGUAAUUGAAUUGUUCCACCACUUUCAUUGUAAAAAGAAAAGAAAAGACAGCACCUACUAUUCUUUUUUCUCUUCUUUUUCUUUAUUAUAUCUUAUAUCUUAUUCUCAAUAAAAAUGAAAUGGCAAAAAAGAAAUGGUAUUUUUGUAUCACCU
rnacentral:lncRNA from 1 species